UACGAAAGGUGCAAGCGUUACUCGGAAUCACUGGGCGUAAAGCGCACGUAGGCGGACUCGUAGGUCAAUUGUGAAAUACCUGGGCUCAACCCGGGAACUGCAGUUGAAACCGCUUGUCUUGAAUACCUGAGAGGGUGGGGGAAUACCUGGUGGAGAAGUGAAAUUCGUAGAGAUCAGGUGGAACACCAGUGGCGAAGGCGACUUCCUGGCCUGUUCUUGACGCUGAGGCGCGAAAGCUAGGGUAGCAAACGGG
rnacentral:rRNA from 1 species